CUUUAUGCAGUGUGCCGCCCACCCCCCUCUCUCCCCUCCCAUAGGUCUCUUGCCUCUGUUGCUUAUGCAACGCCCCCAAUCUCCCUCCUCCCUUCUUCUCCCUCCCCUACCCUCCCUCAGGACUGGACUCUGGUGUGGAGAGGAGUGUAAUGGCCGCCGAAGAGGAGCCAGACAGAAGGAGCAGGAAACGCUGAAGACAGAAGAAGCAGUUACAGAAAAAAAGGUAUUGGCACCUGGUGAGGACCUUCUGUCGCUGUCCGAAUGGACCAAUUGGAGGAAAGUAAUAGUAUUGGCGAAGGUGAGGACCUACUCUCAAUUUCCGAUUGGAUAAAUUGAAAUCAAGUAAUAGUGAGGUAAGCUUACUUUUUUUAUGGUUUUUUUUUUGUUUAAUGCGGUUUCGCACUGCCUUUCACCCACAUUCUCUCCCCAGUGUGACCGCCUGCCCAUCUUACGCUGCCUUUCCCUAACAUCAUCCUCAGCGUCA